GGGCGAAUAGCUCAGCUGGUCAGAGCGUCCGGUUUACACCCGGAAGGUCGGGGGUUCGAGCCCCUCUUCGCCCACCA
rnacentral:tRNA from 1 species